rnacentral:tRNA from 1 species
AGCAGCGUGGCUCAGUGGAAAGAGCCUGGGCUUUGGAGUCAGAGGUCAUGGGUUCGACUCCCGGCUCUGUCA